rnacentral:rRNA from 1 species
UACGUAGGGAGCAAGCGUUGUCCGGAAUCAUUGGGCGUAAAGAGCGCGUAGGUGGCUUUAUAAGUCCGUUGUGAAAGUCAAAGGCUCAACCUUUGAAAGCCGAUGGAUACUGUGAAGCUAGAGUACGGAAGAGGCGAGUGGAAUUCCUGGUGUAGCGGUGAAAUGCGCAGAUAUCAGGAGGAACACCGGUGGCGAAGGCGGGUCUCUGGGCAAUAACUGACGCUGAGGAGCGAAAGCGUGGGGAGCGAACAGG